AUGACUGCAUGGUCAUGUAAGGUUGGGAGAGACUCUUGUGGUUGGUAUUUUGGCUGACACAGUCAGCGAUUAACUGACUAUAUGCCCAUCACCGCCAAACCCCCUUAUUUAUUUAUUUUUUUUUUUUGCAUCGCAUUGCAAACAGUACAUAUCGAUCAAUCUCGUGUCGAAACAUAAGUCCAAAAUACAUUCCGUCCUCAAAAUAUCAAACGCUAUAGUGCAAAAGCAAUAAAAUGAGAUAUAACAAAUAUUUUUGUAAAGCGUUUCUAAGAAACUUGAUCAGGUCAUGCUAUGCAACACGUGGAAACUGAUUCGUCUUCUUCCAGACAUUAGAUCGUAAAACCUAUGAACAAAGAACGUGCAAGGAAGUUCCCUAAAAAACGACAACAACGUUUUCCGCGUUCUUGCAAGUAAACCUUGUUGAACAACUCCCAUAAACAUCCAUCGCAAAAUAUUUUGACGUCUCGUUUAAUUUGGAAAAAAAAUAACGUUGUUUUGGACAAUUUUGAGACUAUAUAAACGAAGCCCUGACAAUGGUUCUUCACUCAACGUUCUAACGAAGAGUCCUUCAGUAACCUAAAGCAAUCGAAAUGGAGUCAGUACGCCAGUUCAUCUACCAAGCCGCCACAUUGGCAAUGGUCGUCAUGCUCCAGGCCGCGUUUGCUCAGUACCAGGAUGACAACAACGGCGCCGAUUACUUGUACGGCGGCGGUUACCGAUACAUCAACAGAUACGGUUACUAAGAAUACAGCGGUUGUUAUUGGACCGGAGACGAAUGGAAAUGUGGAAAUGGAUUCUAGUCAACAUCAAAAGAACUUUGCCAACAUUGAAAUAUUGUAACAAAAACGAAAAGACGGUCAACAUUUUGAAUGCAUAACAAACUGUACACAGGUCAAUAAACAAUCGAUGACUUCAUGAA